rnacentral:tRNA from 1 species
GCCUUCGUGGUAUAGUGGUCAGCACGCUCGGCGCGUAUUCGAGAGGUCCAUGGUUCGAGUCCCGGCGAAGGCG